AUGCCGGCCGUUCCUCAGUCAAGUCCGCCAGCCGCUCCGAACCAGAGGAGGAUGAGUAGAAAAACUGUUCUCCGCCCUCAUCCCAGUCCCAGAGCUCGCUCCAGUGUCGGCUGUAGCCCCAGAGCUCGCUCCAGUGUCGGCUCCAGCCCCAGAGCUCGCUACAGGGUCGGCUCCAGCCCCAGGGCUCGCUCCAGUGUAUCCUCCAGCGCCAGAGCUCGCUCCAGUUUCUCACUCCAGUGUCGACUCCAGCCCCAGAGCUCACUCCAGGGUUGGCUCCAGCCCCAGAGCCCACUCCAGUGUCUCGCUCCAGGGUUGGCUCCAGCCCCAGAGCUUGCUCCAGUGUCUCCCUCCACUGUCGACUCCACCCCCAGAGCUCGCUCCAGGGUCGGCUCCAGCCCCAGAGCUCUCUCCAGUGUAAACUCCAGCGCCAGAGCUCGCUCCAGUUUCUCGCUCCAGUGUCGGCUCCAGCCCCAGAGCUCACUCCAGUGUCGUCUCCAGCCCAAGAGCUCGCUCCAGUGUAGACUCCAGCCCCAGAGCUCGCUCCAGUGUCUUGCUCCAGUGUCAGCUCCAGCCCCAGAGCUCACUCCAGUGUCGGCUCCAGCCCCAGAGCUCGCUCCAGUUGGGUCCAGCCCCAGAGCUCGCUCCAGGGUCUGCUCCAGACCCAGAGCUCACUCCAGUGUCGGCUCCAGCCCCAGAGCGCGCUCCAGUUGGGUCCAGCCCCAGAGCUCACUCCAGGGUCUGCUCCAGACCCAGAGCUCACUCCAGUGUCGGCUCCAGCCCCAGAGCCCACUCCAGUGUAUCGCUCCAGGGUUGGCUCCAGCCCCAGAGCUUGCUCCAGUGUCUCGCUCCAUUGUCGACUCCAGCCCCAGAGCUCGCUCCAAUGUUGGCUCUAGCCCCAGAGCUCGCUCCAGUGUCGGCUCCAGCCCCAGCGCUCGCUCCAGUUGGGUCCAGCCCCAGAGCUCACUCCAGGGUCGGCUCCAGCCCCAGAGCUCUCUCCAGUGUAAACUCCAGUGCCAGAGCUCGCUCCAGUUUCUCAUUCCAGGUGACCCGUAA
ensembl:lncRNA